CCUUGUACACACCGCCCGUCACACCACGAAAGCCUGUUGUACCCGAAGCUGGUACGCUAACCCGCAAGGGAGGCAGCCAUCUAAGGUAUGGCCGGUAAUUGGGGUGAAGUCGUAACAAGGUACCC
rnacentral:rRNA from 1 species